rnacentral:rRNA from 1 species
AACAUGCAAGUCGAGCGCACCUUCGGGUGAGCGGCGGACGGGUUAGUAACGCGUGGGAACGUACCCAGAUCUAAGGAAUAGCCACUGGAAACGGUGAGUAAUACCUUAUACGCCCUUCGGGGGAAAGAUUUAUCGGAUUUGGAUCGGCCCGCGUUAGAUUAGGUAGUUGGUGGGGUAAUGGCCUACCAAGCCUACGAUCUAUAGCUGGUUUUAGAGGAUGAUCAGCAACACUGGGACUGAGACACGGCCCAGACUCCUACGGGAGGCAGCAGUGGGGAAUCUUAGACAAUGGGGGCAACCCUGAUCUAGCCAUGCCGCGUGAGUGAAGAAGGUCUUAGGAUCGUAAAGCUCUUUCGCCAGGGAUGAUAAUGACAGUACCUGGUAAAGAAACCCCGGCUAACUCCGUGCCAGCAGCCGCGGUAAUACGGAGGGGGUUAGCGUUGUUCGGAAUUACUGGGCGUAAAGCGCGCGUAGGCGGAUCAGAAAGUUGGGGGUGAAAUCCCAGGGCUCAACCCUGGAACUGCCUCCAAAACUCCUGGUCUUGAGUUCGAGAGAGGUGAGUGGAACUCCGAGUGUAGAGGUGAAAUUCGUAGAUAUUCGGAAGAACACCAGUGGCGAAGGCGGCUCACUGGCUCGAUACUGACGCUGAGGUGCGAAAGUGUGGGGAGCAAACAGGAUUAGAUACCCUGGUAGUCCACACCGUAAACGAUGAAUGCCAGUCGUCGGGUAGUAUACUAUUCGGUGACACACCUAACGGAUUAAGCAUUCCGCCUGGGGAGUACGGUCGCAAGAUUAAAACU